rnacentral:rRNA from 1 species
GAUGAACGCUGACAGAAUGCUUAACACAUGCAAGUCAACUUGAACUUCGGUUUGGGUGGCGGACGGGUGAGUAACGCGUAAAGAACUUGCCUCACAGAUAGGGACAACAUUUGGAAACGAAUGCUAAUACCUGAUAUUACGAUUAUAUGGCAUCGUAUAAUUAUGAAAGCUAUAUGCGCUGUGAGAGAGCUUUGCGUCCCAUUAGCUAGUUGGAGAGGUAACGGCUCACCAAGGCGAUGAUGGGUAGCCGGCCUGAGAGGGUGAUCGGCCACAAGGGGACUGAGACACGGCCCUUACUCCUACGGGAGGCAGCAGUGGGGAAUAUUGGACAAUGGACCAAGAGUCUGAUCCAGCAAUUCUGUGUGCACGAUGAAGUUUUUCGGAAUGUAAAGUGCUUUCAGUUGGGAAGAAAAAAAUGACGGUACCAACAGAAGAAGUGACGGCUAAAUACGUG